CUGCUCAGUUUCGACAUGAAGCUUUUUGGAGUACUUUUAGCUGUUAUGGCAAUGGCCCUGGCUUUUGUGGGAGCCAUGAGCACUGGUGCUGAGCCUGCCGGGUGUCACGGCGGAGGAGGCGGCAGACCACCGCGCCCCCCUCCUUCCACUCCAGCCACCACCACAGCAGCUUCUACUAAUGCGACUAGCGGAUAAUCCACAAAACUUCGAUCGUCUGAAAAUGCUUGAAUAAUAAUAACAAACGGCACACAAUUACAACAAUUAUUAUACGAAAAAAUAAAAUAAAAAUGUUUUGCUCCUA